rnacentral:lncRNA from 1 species
GAAACAAGCAGUGCCACCAUCUGAAGGAGGAAAAUGUGAAAUAAUGAAUAUGCUUCUGCAGAUCAGGCUGCUGUGUGUGCCAGGGGAUGUGCAAAGCCUCGUGCCAGGCUUGAUCUCCAGAUUUCCCCUCUCCACCUCUAAGGAGGGCAGAGAACAAUAAGCAGCUGCUGGAGCCUUCCACUCGUGCUCUCAGAAGAAGCACAGGGAGAUCUCUGACGACACGACAGGGCAAAGAAUGGUGAGGAGAAGACACAGUGAGGUUCUUAUCUGGAGCGUGGUUCUGCAGCUACAGAUUUGCCUGAAUUCAGUGAGAUCGCUCCAAACCCUUUGGAGGAGCUCGAGCACCGAGGGGAAGGGAUGAUUUUAGUCAGAAAAGUUAUUUUCCAUCAAAAAAAGAAAAACUGAGGGGAUGUUUUCA